GGCUUGAAACUUAAAGAAUUUGGCGGUAUUUUAAUCUUUUCAGAGGAACCUGUUCUAUAAUCGAUAUUCCACGUUAAAUUUUACUAAAUUAUUUAUAUAUCGUUGUCGAAAGAAUAAAUUUUCUAAUAUUUUGAAAAAAAUAGAUGUCAAAUCAAGGUGUAGUUUAUAAUUUAGUAGAAAUGGGUUACAAUAAAUUUAUUUAGAAAAUUUUGGAAGGAGGAUUUGAAAGUAAAUUAAUUUUAAUAAAUUUAAUUGAUUAUAGUUCUAAGAUAUGU
rnacentral:rRNA from 1 species